rnacentral:rRNA from 1 species
GACGAACGCUGGCGGCGUGCUUAACACAUGCAAGUCGAACGGAAAGGCCCUGCUUUUGUGGGGUGCUCGAGUGGCGAACGGGUGAGUAACACGUGAGUAACCUGCCCUUGACUUUGGGAUAACUUCAGGAAACUGGGGCUAAUACCGGAUAGGAGCUCCUGCUGCAUGGUGGGGGUUGGAAAGUUUCGGCGGUUGGGGAUGGACUCGCGGCUUAUCAGCUUGUUGGUGGGGUAGUGGCUUACCAAGGCUUUGACGGGUAGCCGGCCUGAGAGGGUGACCGGCCACAUUGGGACUGAGGUACGGCCCAGACUCCUACGGGAGGCAGCAGUGGGGAAUAUUGCACAAUGGGCGGAAGCCUUAUGCAGCAACGCCGCGUGCGGGAUGACGGCCUUCGGGUUGUAAACCGCUUUCGCCUGUGACGAAGCGUGAGUGACGGUAAUGGGUAAAGAAGCACCGGCUAACUACGUG